UGGAUUAGUGGCGAACGGGUGAGUAACACGUGAGUAACCUGCCCUCUUCUUUGGGAUAACGGUCGGAAACGGCUGCUAAUACUGGAUAUUCACUCAUUGGCGCAUGUUGGUGGGUGGAAAGGUUUUUUCUGGUGGGGGAUGGGCUCGCGGCCUAUCAGCUUGUUGGUGGGGUGAUGGCCUACCAAGGCUUUGACGGGUAACCGGCCUGAGAGGGUGACCGGUCACAUUGGGACUGAGAUACGGCCCAGACUCCUACGGGAGGCAGCAGUGGGGAAUUUUGCACAAUGGGCGCAAGCCUGAUGCAGCGACGCCGCGUGAGGGAUGAAGGCCUUCGGGUUGUAAACCUUUUUCGCUCAUGGUCAAGCCGCAGCUUGGGUUGUGGUGAGGGUAGUGGGUAAAGAAGCGCCGGCUAACUACGUGCCAGCAGCCGCGGUAAUACGUAGGGCGCGAGCGUUGUCCGGAAUUAUUGGGCGUAAAGGGCUUGUAGGCGGUUGGCCGCGUCUGCCGUGAAAUCCUCUGGCUUAACUGGGGGCGUGCGGUGGGUACGGGUUGACUUGAGUGCGGUAGGGGAGACUGGAAUUCCUGGUGUAGCGGUGGAAUGCGCAGAUAUCAGGAGGAACACCGGUGGCGAAGGCGGGUCUCUGGGCCGUUACUGACGCUGAGGAGCGAAAGCGUGGGGAGCGAACAGGAUUAGAUACCCUGGUAGUCCACGCUGUAAACGUUGGGCACUAGGUGUGGGGGCCACCCGUGGUUUCUGCGCCGUAGCUAACGCUUUAAGUGCCCCGCCUGGGGAGUACGGUCGCAAGGCUAAAACUC
rnacentral:rRNA from 1 species